UUUAUUAUAAAAUAUUAGUUAUAACUUAUAUUAUAAUGGUUUGACUUUAAUGAAAGCAACUUUAUGUUUAGUACGAGUUUGGAAAUAUGGAAGUUCAUGAUAGUUUAAAGUACUGUAAAGGAAUAUUUUAUAUUUAAUAAAAGUAUAAUUAAUUAUUAGUACCUUUUGUAUCAGGGUUCAUUGAAAUUUAAAGAUGAAUAUAGUUAUCCCGAAAUUAAAUGAUCUAUUUUAUUAUAUUUAAUAUUGUGUCAUAAAUAUAUAUAAUAUUAAUAUAGAAGUUAUAUGCUAUUCAUAUUUAAUAUAUCUGGUUUUCUAAUAAUUAAAUUUAAUUUAGGCAUUAAUAUACUAUACUAAAUCCUUAAUUUAAGUAUAAUUAUUUGUGCUUCUAUUUAUGGGGAUAAGCUCAUAAAUAUGUCUAUAAUCUUUAUUAUUGUUACAGGUAAAUAGGCCUAAUAUCAGCCAUUUUAUAAUUCGUUAUAGAAGUCUUGUGUUAAUUAUUAAUUUUAUGAUGAUUUAGUAUUAUAUUAGAAUAUAUUAUUUAUUAAUAAAUUAAUAGUAAUAAUGAUGAAAUUAGUAUUUGUUUAUAUAUAGUAUAGGAAUUCGGCAAUUUUUAUCUUCACCUGUUUAACAAAAACAUGUUCUUUUAGAUAUAUAAAUAUAAGAUCUAGUCUGCCCUAUGAUUAUAUAAAAUUAAAUGGCCGCAGUAUUUUAACUGUGCGAAGGUAGCAUAAUCAUUUGCCCUUUAAUUGGGGGCUUGUAUGAAUGGCUUGAUGAAGGAUAAGCUUUCUUUACUAUAAUAAAGAGAAUUUAAUAUAUAAGUUAAAAAGCUUAUAUAAUAUUAAAAGACGAGAAGACCCUAUAGAAUUUUAUAAUUACACUAUAAAUUUACUUUUGUUUAUAAAUUAUCCUUAUAGUAAGCAAUUAUUUUGUUGGGGCGACAGUUAAAUUUUACUAACUUUAAUUUAAAUUAAUUCAUUAAUUUAUGAUUUAUUAGAUCCUUUAUAAAGAUUAUAAGAUAAAAUUACCUUAGGGAUAACAGCGUAAUUUUAUUGGAGAGUUCUUAUUAAUAAUAAAGUUUGCGACCUCGAUGUUGGAUUAAAGCGGGUACUAGGUGCAGAAGCUUAGUAACUAAGUCUGUUCGACUUUUAAACCUUUACAUGAUCUGAGUUCAAACCGGCGUAAGCCAGGUUGGUUUCUAUCUUUAAUUUGUUAAUUUAUAUUUUAGUACGAAAGGACCAAAUAUAGGGAAUAUUUUUAAAUUAUUGAUUAAUAAUAA
rnacentral:rRNA from 1 species